CCUACGGGGGGCAGCAGUGAGGAAUAUUGGUCAAUGGACGAGAGUCUGAACCAGCCAAGUAGCGUGAAGGAUGACUGCCCUAUGGGUUGUAAACUUCUUUUAUAAAGGAAUAAAAUGAGGCACGUGUGCAUUUUUGCAUGUACUUUAUGAAUAGAGAUAGGAUAACUCCGUGCCAGCAGCCGCGGUAAUACGGAGGAUCCGAGCGUUAUCCGGAUGGAUUGGGUUUAAAGGGAGCGUAGAUGGGUUGUUAAGUCAGUUGUGAAAGUUUGCGGCUCAACCGUAAAAUUGCAAUUGAUACUGGCAGUCUUGAGUACAUUUGAGGGAGGCGGAAUUCGAGGUGUAGCGGUGAAAUGCGUAGAGAUGACGAAGAACCCCGAUUGCGAAGGCAGCUUACUAAACUUGUACUGACACUGAUGCGCGAAAGUGUGGGUAUCAAACAGGAUUAGAUACCCUUGUAGUC
rnacentral:rRNA from 1 species